rnacentral:rRNA from 1 species
GAGUUUGAUCCUGGCUCAGGACGAACGCUGGCGGCAUGCCUAACACAUGCAAGUCAAGGGGUAGCAAUACCACUGGCGCACGGGUGAGUAACACGUAGUUAUCUGCCCCCAUCACAGACAUAACCUCGGGAAACCGAGGCUAAUAUCUGAUGAGGUCGUGAGAUCAAGGCUUCGGCGGAUGGGGAUGAGCCUGCGGCUGAUUAGCUAGUUGGUGAGGUAAUGGCUCACCAAGGCGACGAUCAGUAGCUGGUCUGAGAGGACGAACAGCCACACUGGAACUGAGACACGGUCCAGACUCCUACGGGAGGCAGCAGUGAGGAAUAUUGGUCAAUGGGAGCAAUCCUGAACCAGCAAUGCCGCGUGUGGGAUGAAGGCGCUUCGCGUCGUAAGCCACUGUCGGACGGGACGAAAGGAGCUAUGAAGCUCUAGGACGGUACCGUCAAAGGAAGGAUCGGCUAACUACGUGCCAGCAGCCGCGGUAAUACGUAGGAUCCAAGCGUUGUCCGGAUUUACUGGGUAUAAAGGGUGCGUAGGCGGCCUUGUGCGUCAGAGGUGAAAUCUCCGGGCUUAACCCGGAGGGUGCCUUUGAUACGGCAGG